rnacentral:rRNA from 1 species
UACAGAGGGGGCAAGCGUUGUUCGGAAUUACUGGGCGUAAAGGGCUCGUAGGCGGCCAACUAAGUCAGACGUGAAAUCCCUCGGCUUAACCGGGGAACUGCGUCUGAUACUGGAUGGCUUGAGUGUGGGAGAGGGAUGCGGAAUUCCAGGUGUAGCGGUGAAAUGCGUAGAUAUCUGGAGGAACACCGGUGGCGAAGGCGGCAUCCUGGACCAUUACUGACGCUGAUGAGCGAAAGCCAGGGGAGCAAACGGG